GCUUACGGCCAUACCAUCAUAGGCACGCCCGAUCUCGUCUGAUCUCGGAAGCUAAGCAGGGUUGGGCCCGGUUAGUACUUGGAUGGGUGACCGCCUGGGAAUACCAGGUGCUGCAAGCA
rnacentral:rRNA from 10 species